CCUACGGGAGGCAGCAGUGAGGAAUAUUGGUCAAUGGGCGGAAGCCUGAACCAGCCAAGUAGCGUGCGGGAUGAAGGUACAGAGUAUCGUAAACCUCUUUUGUCAGGGAACAAAGGCGGGGACGUGUCCCCGGAUGAGUGUACCUGAAGAAAAAGCAUCGGCUAACUCCGUGCCAGCAGCCGCGGUAAUACGGAGGAUGCGAGCGUUAUCCGGAUUUAUUGGGUUUAAAGGGUGCUCAGGCGGUCUGUUAAGUCAGCGGUCAAAGCCCGGGGCUCAACCCCGGCCCGCCGUUGAAACUGGCAGUCUCGAGUUGGAGAGAAGUAUGCGGAAUGCGCGGUGUAGCGGUGAAAUGCAUAGAUAUCGCGCAGAACUCCGAUUGCGAAGGCAGCAUGCCGGCUCCACACUGACGCUGAGGCACGAAAGCGUGGGUAUCGAACAGGAUUAGAUACCCGAGUAGUC
rnacentral:rRNA from 1 species